CCUAGGGGCGGCAGCAGUGAGGAAUAUUGGUCAAUGGGAGGAAUCCUGAACCAGCCAAGUAGCGUGCAGGAUGACGGCCCUACGGGUUGUAAACUGCUUUUAUACGGGAAUAACGCGCCUUACGUGUAGGGCUUUGCAUGUACCGUAUGAAUAAGGACCGGCUAAUUCCGUGCCAGCAGCCGCGGUAAUACGGAAGGUCCGGGCGUUAUCCGGAUUUAUUGGGUUUAAAGGGAGCGUAGGCCGCAUGUCAAGCGUGCUGUGAAAUGUCCGGGCUCAACCCGGGCCUUGCAGCGCGAACUGGCGUGCUGGAGUCCGCGGAAAGCAGGCGGAAUUCGUCGUGUAGCGGUGAAAUGCUUAGAUAUGACGAAGAACCCCGAUUGCGAAGGCAGCUUGCUGCAGCGGAACUGACGCUGAUGCUCGAAAGCGCGGGUAUCGAACAGGAUUAGAUACCCCAGUAGUC
rnacentral:rRNA from 1 species